GACAGAGGUGCCAAGCGUUAGGCGGAAUCACUGGGCUUAAAGCGUGUGUAGGCGGAUGCCUAAGUACCUUGUGAAAUCCCACGGCUCACCCGUGGAACUGCUGGGUAUACUGGGUGUCUUGAGCCAACUAGGGGUCGCCGGAACAAGUGGUGGAGCGGUGAAAUGCGUAGAUAUCGGAAGGAACGCCGGUGGCGAAAGCGGCGUGCUGGACCUCUUCUGACGCUGAGGCGCGAAAGCCAGGGGAGCAAACGGG
rnacentral:rRNA from 1 species